rnacentral:rRNA from 1 species
UCUGCAACUCGACUACAUGAAGCUGGAAUCGCUAGUAAUCGCGAAUCAGAAUGUCGCGGUGAAUACGUUCCCGGGUCUUGUACACACCGCCCGUCACACCAUGGGAGUCAGUAACGCCCGAAGUCAGUGACCCAACCUUUUAGGAGGGAGCUGCCGAAGGUGGGACCGAUAACUGGGGUGAAGUCGUAACAAGGUACC